GCCUGGAUAGCUCAGACGGUAGAGCAUCAGACUUUUAAUCUGUCAGACUUUCACGCU
rnacentral:tRNA from 1 species